CACAAUUUAUUGACAGACUGCAAGAAGAGUUCAUCAUAAAAUCGGUGUGAUAUAAAAUAGUCAUAAAUAUGUGUGAAAGUUUUGUCAUCUGGUCGAAAAUUAUGUCAUUGAAAUCGUGAGAAAAUACUAUAAUUAAGAUGUACCACUUACUUAACUAGUUAGUUUUAUUAAAAGCAGAUAUUUACUUUUUAUAAACUAAUUCUAUCACGUUUUCUUCAUGAGUCACGAGCGAUUCCUUUACUGUUUUACACUUCACAGUACGGCAAGCACUGCAGCGAGUCUGUUGUGCAGAAUUGAGAAUGGAAUACCCAGUACAUGACAGGCCUCGUUUAAACAAGUUGAUCUUGUUUAAAAACCAAUAGUUAUCAUGAAAAAAGUAAAAAUAAUUCAAUACUUAUCUUGUAAUCAAUUAUUCGUCGACUGGAGUCCACAAACAUAAUUGAAACAGAAGCAAUUCGUCGCUGUUGGAACGUUCGACUUUUUUUAUUGAAGUCACCAAUAUUUAAACGAUGCCGCUUGAUAUCCUUGUAAAAUAACUUUAAUACACGAUUGAUUGUAUCUUAUUACCAAGAAAUAUAUUUCGUAUUAUAAUUGCUGUCAAAAGAAUGCAAAUAUCUUAUAUAAUUGAAAUAAAAAAACCCAAAUUUGUCGGUCUUUCAAUAUAAAAUAAAAUCGCGCCAUUACCAUGCGUUCUCUGCCGACCGACACUUCGUGACAUAGCCACAGAAUAAGGUACACAGAAGGCCGACUUCUUCGUUUUUCCUAUGAUUUUCCUAUGAUUUUGGCGUAACUCGUGAUUCGUCAUCAAAUGCUGACGCCAUGGUCCUAGCCAGUGCGCGUCUGAGAUGCAUUCACCCCGCUGAUAUCAUUCAAAAUGGCGGAUGUCCAGGGGGG